AGCCUUCUGUAUGCGUGCUGAGAUUUCGUCACACACCAGACCACAAGGGCUGAUGAGACAAUAGCAUCAAAUAAAAGCG
rfam:Schistosoma haematobium scaffold3747_9, whole genome shotgun sequence.